GGACAGCGCAGCACUCUCGGUCUCCCUGGUGCAGCUAGGCAAACUGCUGGUGUUGCUUGGGGGGCAGAGGCCAGCGGCGCUCUGCCCUGCUGCCAGCUCUUCCACUGGGGUAACCCGUGGUAAGUCAGGCUCUGAUACAGGGGAAAAGGGCGGGGCAGAGGCUAGCGGUGCUCUGCCCUGAUGCCAGCUCUUCCACUGGGAUAGCCUGCAGGGUCUCAGGCUCUGAACAAGGGACAAGGAUUGGGCAGAGGCCAGCGGCGCUCUGCUCAGGGGCCAGCUCUUCCACUGGGAUAGCCUGCAGGGUCUCAGGCUCUGAACAAGGGACAAGGAUAGGGCAGAGGAAAGCAGCGCUCUGC